UUAAGUUCAGCGGGUAUUCCUACCUGAUCCGAGGUCAACCUUUGGUUAAAGAUGGUCUUUAACGGCAGGAGCACCGCCGCGCCUCCCUAGCGAGAUAAUGAAUUACUACGCUCGGAGUUGCAGCGAGCCCGCCACUUCUUCAGGCCGUACGGCAGCCGUAGGGCCCCAACACCAAGCAGGGCUUGAGGGUUGAAAUGACG
rnacentral:misc_RNA from 1 species